rnacentral:rRNA from 1 species
UACAGAGGGUGCAAGCGUUGUUCGGAAUCAUUGGGCGUAAAGGGCGUGUAGGCGGUCUGUUAAGUCAUGUGUGAAAUCCCUCGGCUCAACCGGGGAACGACGCAUGAAACUGACAGCUAGAGUACCAAAGAGGGGGGUGGAAUUCCCGGUGUAGCGGUGGAAAUGCGUAGAUAAUCGGGAGGAACACCGGUGGCGAAGGCGACCCCCUGGUUGGAUACUGACGCUGAGACGCGAAAGCGUGGGGAGCAAACAGG